rfam:Triticum urartu cultivar G1812 contig90401, whole genome shotgun sequence.
AAAUUUCUGCAACGCCGUCCCAAAAUUUUUGUCUGAGAUUUAUCUAGAUAUGGAUACAUCUAAUAUUAAAAUAUGGCUUGAUAUAUCCGUAUUUAGACAAAUCUAAGACAAGAAUUUUGGGACGGAGGGAGUAUUUA